AUUGAACGCUGGCGGCAGGCCUAACACAUGCAAGUCGAGCGAGCGGCGGACGGGUGAGUAAUGUAUGGGAAUCUGCCUGAUGGAGGGGGAUAACUACUGGACACUGUAGCUAAUACCGCAUCCUAUCGGAUGAGCCCAGAUGGGAUUAGGUAGUAGGUGGGGUAAAGGCUCACCUAGGCGACGAUCGCUAGCUGGUCUGAGAGGAUGACCAGCCACACUGGGACUGAGACACGGCCCAGACGCCUACGGGAGGCAGCAGUGGGGAAGAUUGCACAAUGGGGGCAAGCCUGAUGCAGCCAUGCCGCGUGAAUGAAGAAGGCCUUCGGGUUGUAAAGUACUUUCAGCGGGGAGGCGUUACCCGCAGAAGAAGCACCGGCUAACUCCGUGCCAGCAGCCGCGGUAAUAC
rnacentral:rRNA from 1 species